UACGUAGGGUGCAAGCGUUAAUCGGAAUUACUGGGCGUAAAGCGUGCGCAGGCGGCUUUGCAAGACAGAUGUGAAAUCCCCGGGCUCAACCUGGGAACUGCAUUUGUGACUGCAUGGCUAGAGUGCGGCAGAGGGGGAUGGAAUUCCGCGUGUAGCAGUGAAAUGCGUAGAUAUGCAGAGGAACACCGAUGGCGAAGGCAAUCCCCUGGGCCUGCACUGACGCUCAUGCACGAAAGCGUGGGGAGCAAACAGG
rnacentral:rRNA from 1 species